AGUGAACGCUGGCGGUAGGCCUAACACAUGCAAGUCGAACGGCAGCACAGUAAGAGCUUGCUCUUACGGGUGGCGAGUGGCGGACGGGUGAGGAAUACAUCGGAAUCUACUUUUUCGUGGGGGAUAACGUAGGGAAACUUACGCUAAUACCGCAUACGACCUACGGGUGAAAGCAGGGGAUCUUCUGACCUUGCGCGAUUGAAUGAGCCGAUGUCGGAUUAGCUAGUUGGCGGGGUAAAGGCCCACCAAGGCGACGAUCCGUAGCUGGUCUGAGAGGAUGAUCAGCCACACUGGAACUGAGACACGGUCCAGACUCCUACGGGAGGCAGCAGUGGCGAAUAUUGGACAGUGGGCGGAAGCCUGAUCCAGCCAUACCGCGUGGGUGAAGAAGGCCUUCGGGUUGUAAAGCCCUUUUGUUGGGAAAGAAAAGCAGCAGGUUAAUACCCAGCUGUUCUGACGGUACCCAAAGAAUAAGCACCGGCUAACUUCGUG
rnacentral:rRNA from 1 species